CGGUUCCCCUCGCGUCUCCCCGACUACGUAGCGGCCGCGUCGCGCCGCCGGGCCUCCUUCCCGUGCCCCACCCCACUUCGUACGCCGAACUUCAAGGCGGUUAAAGACGCUCUCUCUCCUCGCGCUUUCGCGAUGCUUCGCGUCGGUCCUGUAAAUGCGUUACGUGGAAUUUUCGUCGCCCGACGACUCCGAAUAUCGUAUCGCACCACCGCUCGCGCACAGCCAAGUUCGCAGUUAGCGAGUCCUUGCGACGAUAUCGCGAUUACGCGAUUCGACGAGUCUGACAAUCCGACUGUUGCGUCGAGACAGCCUGUCUUAAAUGAGAAGGGAACUCCGGUUUAUCGAUGUUAACGGUGACUUGUUGGCACGCGAACGGUACACGGAUUCUUCGAGAAUACGGUAAUCUGUAUGUAUUGAGAGAUCUUGCAGUACCUCUUUGCUCUUGCUCCUCUGAACGACGCCUCGGAGGAAAAUCUUUAUAUCAAUCUGAGACAAUGUCGGCGUCUACUACCAACCGUCACGAGCUAGCUAAUAACUGUGUGAUAGUAAUCGGUGAUCCAAAAUGGCGCCCACGCGACGCUCGCGUAGCGUUAACGGCUAUUGAAACUUAAAAGAUAGCUAUUUGGAAGUUGCGAUAAAGUUAGAAAUCGCACAAUACCGCCAAGUUCGGAAUAUCGUUCUCGGCGGAGCGGCUGAAUUCAUAGUUUAUCGAUAUCUCACUCCGGGAGAGUAAUAGUCGCGAUUCGCAUUCGCAUGCUCCGAUAUCACGUGCGCGAUUUACAACGCUUGAAUUCGUGACUUCGCGUUCAAUUCGUGUCAAACGUACGCUUUCGCUCAGUGAAUUCGCUUUCUCCAACUCGCGAUCGCGAGAUGAUCAGUGAGUUACAAGGUCGCUUACUGGUUACACUACAUCACCGGUUACAAGGACAAUACGUCGACGUCGAGACUUCUGCUCCGCAUCUUCCUACAUUCUUUGGUAUCGCGUAAUCAACGUAUGGGUAAGAUAUCCCUGCUGGAGAGUGACGAGAAGAGGACAACACCUAUCGUCGCCGACUUAUAAUAUAAUAAAAUAAACGAACCGCAGCCGGUUCGUCGCGUCGCGCGUUUUUUUCCGGGAGUGCCGUUUAAGUAUUGGACUAAUGGACUUUUCAUAACUCCCAUUUGAUAGACUCCUAGUUCAAGGGCUGGGAAUCGCACCCCCGCUGCUUGGCAGUGGAUAUCUUCUUACUGGGGCGUUGCGCAUGGUGGCUAAGAAAGACGGCGCACCGCGACGUUCCAUGCCGAGUGCUCGUGCACGAGGUAAUGCCGGGCCGCAUGUACGACAUGCCCCGUGUGCAUGUUGCGCGGCUGUCUGGUUGUGUGAGGUUACACGCUCUGUCUCUGACGAUCGGUUCGGUCCUAAGCGGUAAGAGUUCGGAUCAGUUGCUUUGGAUUCGCACGUUUCUCUUGCUCUCGUCCACCAUCCUAAGGCUUUCUUAGAUCCUUGAUACCCUUUUUGGAUUUUUUGGAUCUGGGGUUCGAGCUGGGUGAAUUACGUUUAAUCUGACUUGGUCAGAACUUGGCCUUGUAGGUUAAGCUUGUGACGAGAGGCUGGCUCUCAUUUCCUGAUUCGUCUAAAAUGCUAGACGUCGGCAAUGAGUACCUUCUUCUCUCGUCCUGCCGGAGUGUCUUGUCGACGCCGCUUGGAUAUAAGAUCCAGUGGGACUGAUCUCGAUGAUCCGUUGGCUGGGCGUAUGAACGGGUCAAUUUUAGACGUGAUUUUUGUGAGACAAGAGACUUCGGAUUCAUUGCCAUUGAUUUCGUUUUCUUCCGCGUGGGGCUUACCUUUUUUGGGGGGCGGGUACGCGUGCGUCUUACUCGCCGACUCGGGGUGCUGAAUCCACGGGAAUCCCUCUGAAUAGGAACUCGUAUCAUGGGUUUUAUAAACCCGAAGUGCCGCAGUAUCACGUGAAAAAUUUUUAUAAAUAAUUAGUCCACGCGCGCAAAUUUAGUAUAUUAUUCGCGAGUGUUUCGCGUGUGCAACGAAAGAAAGAGACUUAACAACCUGGAGGACUGAGAGGAGGAGGAGGCCUGGGAGAGGCAUCGGGCCUCAGCGGAGCAACCUUGGGUAAUCACCGCAGCUCCGUGGCUGAAUAACUCCGCUCGUUGCGCAUCGGAUUGGUAAGUCAAAUAUCAAUUCAUGUA